CCUCUAGACCUACAAAUCCCUCUGCAGGAUCGAGUCAGGAGCAGCGAGAGAGGGGAAGAAGAGGAAGAAGGAAGGUGCAUCUGCCAGGAGUAUCCAGAGGUUACAGAACAAAGAGAAUAAUGAUUCUGACACCUAGGGGAGGAGCUGGGCUGUGAGAGAGUGAAGAAUGCCGUACCUAUUCUUCCUCGUCUGGACUCCCUCAACGUCGACUCUUUGGUUUUUGGAUUUCUCACUGUUGCCUCGCCCUUAUCGGAUUUGUUUGCCUCUCUUCUUGCGUACUACCUGGACUUGACCCAGCCUGGAAUAGCUGACCACUCUACCUCGUCGCCUGCCUUGGAUACCUCAGCUACCGGACCUCGCCUGGAGACCUGCACAGGUCAUCUUGUGCAUUGGACACAGACACCAUCCUGAAGUCAUAAUACCACUAUCCAUGAUUUCUACCUAGCAUGCUAAACAGCAUGUGGUGUUGGUGGUCGUGAACAUAAAGUCUGCCACAGCCCUCUGUGGUGGGACUGCUGAAUGCCAAAUGGACACCAGCAACUGGUGGAUGAAGUGAAGCCUUCUCUGCAUGUAAUGUACUUUCAUUUUCAGCUCUUCUAAGAAGGAAUUUGUCAUAAGAAGAUUAUUAUUGAUCCUUGAAACAGAUUUAUUAUUAUUAUCAUCAUCAAUAUUGCCGCUGCGAUUGCACUAGCAGCAUCCCGUUCUACCGGGCUGUCUGUCUGAGUUCCACCCUGCAAGGCUCCACACUGAUGGCUGCUGUGUGUUUUAUUUAACAGAUCUUAUCUGCUUUUUAAAAAAAAAAAAUAUUUGAUGGCAUCUCUUUGCCUGGGAGCUUCCUCCCUGGCUGCGAGGGGUCUUGUUUUUUUUCCCUGGGGAGUUUCGCGAAGCCCAGCGGCAUUCCGAACGCAGCCAGGAGUGGAGUGGCCGGACCUGUUAACCCUUUCAGCGCCACGGCUCCUCCUGCUGCCUCUUUGCAUCUGCGCGGCCGCUAACUCGGCAGCUGCUGUUGUUACUGCUGCUAAUAAUAGCGGCUCUACAGAUAAAUAGCAGCCAGCAUAUUUAGAAAUCUAAUGUUCCAAGAGUAAGAAGAAGUGGGAGUUUGAACAAGCUGCCCAGAUAUGUUGCUGAAGCUUCAGGAAACAGCUGGAUGUAUCAAUUAACCACUAGCACACAAACACAUUCCAUUUCAUUUUUGAGAAUGUCAUACUAAUCGUAACAACCUGUUCUGCACCUUUGCACAUUUGAAACCUAUGAAUAAUAUAUUUGCCGUAAUUCAUAAUAGUCUCCAGCAGUUUGUCUCUCCUGGCAGCUCUCAAGAAUGCGUUUAAAGAUCAAAAGGCACAUUUGACAGGACCUUUGCUUCAUUUGUUCUGUAAACAGAAAAGAAGACACGAAAGACAGAGUACAGGGGUGGCAGGCUGGGGUUACAGGCAGGCAUCCGGCUUGUAAAGAAUUAACCAUUUAAUUUUGCGCAGGAAUUUGAAUGAAAAAGGAGGAGACUUCUGGCAGACUUCCUUGCUUAUAGUGUUUGCUGCAUGUUGAGACAGUAGAUAAAAACACAUGAAUAAUGAGGAAAUCUUUAGACUUUAAGAUCAACAAUGAAAUAAGACACAGGGUCACAGGUGGAAAUUAAGAGCACACACUACCCAGAGAAGAGGUUCACACAGGCUCACUGGGAUGCUUCAAGGAGCACCUCAGUGAGAUUUUGAGCUUGGGCUCAGCUAGCUAGUAGUGGUCAAAUUAAGAUGUGCCAAAAAGUGUCCUAUCUUUUCUACUAUCUGCCUCUCUUCUGAGUUUUUUGGGGAUUAUUUGCUAUCACAGAGGUUUAUCAAAUCUUUGUGGUUAUUAGCAAGAUACAGUAUGUGGCAUGCCCUCUGCAGCCAGAGGGUGCUCCUUCUCUGUCCUGUCCCUAG